AUUGACCGCUGGCGGCAGGCCUAACACAUGCAAGUCGAACGAGUGGCGGACGGGUGAGUAAUGUCUGGGAAACUGCAUGAUGGAGGGGGCUAACUACUGGAAACGGUAGCUAAUACCGCAUACCAUCAGCUGUACCCAGAUGGGAGUAGCUAGUUGGUGGGUUAACGGUGCACCAAGGAGACGAUCCAUAGCUGGUCUCAGAGGAAGACCGGCCUCACGGUAACGUAGACACGAUCCAGACUCCUACGGGAGGCAGCAGUGGGGAAGAUUGCACCAUGGGCGCAAGCCUGAUGCAGCCAUGCCGCGUGUAUGAAUAAGGCCGUCGGGUGGUAAAGUACUUUCAGCGGGGAGGCGUUACCCGCAGAAGAAGCACCGGCUAACUCCGUGCCAGCAGCCGCGGUAAUAC
rnacentral:rRNA from 1 species